GGAAAUUCGAAAACAAUCGUUAGGUCCAAAUCAUGUUGAUGUCGCUGCGUCUUUAAACAAUCUUGGUAUUGUGUUUAAAAACUGGAAACUACGACAAAGCUAUAGAGGUUCACGAAAAAGCUAUAGAAAUUCGAAAACAAUCGUUGGGUACAAAUCAUGUUGAUGUCGCUGCGUCUUUAAACAAUCUUGGUACUGUGCUUAAAAAAACUGGAAAAUACGACAAAGCUAAAGAGGUUCACGAAAAAGCUCUGGAAAUUCGAAAACAAGCGUUAGGUCAAAAUCAUGUUGACGUUGCUCAGUCUUUAAACAAUCUUGGUAUUGUGUAUUAU